rnacentral:rRNA from 1 species
AUUGAACGCUGGCGGCAGGCCUAACACAUGCAAGUCGAGCGAGUGGCGGACGGGUGAGUAAUGUCUGGGAAACUGCCUGAUGGCGGGGGAUAACUACUGGAAACGGUAGCUAAUACCGCAUACCAUCGGAUGUACCCAGAUGGGAUUAGCUAGUAGGUGGGGUAACGGCUCACCUAGGCGACGAUCCCUAGCUGGUCUGAGAGGAUGAUCAGCCACACUGGAACGGAGACACGGUCCAGACUCCUACGGGAGGCAGCAGUGGGGAAUAUUGGACAAUGGGCGAAAGCCUGAUGCAGCCAUGCCGCGUGUGUGAAGAAGGUCUUCGGAUUGUAAAGCACUUUAAGUUGGGAGGCGUUACCAACAGAAGAAGCACCGGCUAACUCCGUGCCAGCCGCCGCGGUAAUUC